rnacentral:rRNA from 1 species
ACAACUUUCAACAACGGAUCUCUUUGGUCUGGGAUCAAGGAAGAACGCAGCGAAAUGCGAUACGUAGUGUGAAUUGCAGAAUUCAGUGAAUCAUCGAAUCUUUGAACGCACAUUGCGCCCUUUGGUAUUCAAGGGCAUGCCUGUUCGAGCGUCAUUU